GCCGGGGUGGUGGAAUGGCAUACACGUCGGUCUCAAAAACCGAUGGUUGAAAAACCGUGUGGGUUCAACUCCCACCCCCGGCA
rnacentral:tRNA from 1 species